GCGUGGUGUUACAGUGAACCCGUAUAGACGAAAAUUGCAUUUACCAUUUAUUGCUUGACUAAUAAUAAAAACAUAGAAGAUUCUCGGUAACUCCGUGUCACCUUCUGUCCUGAUGCCAGAUUCGAUUGACGCAACGCUAACAAUUGGUGAAAAAUUGUCUGGCCGAUUGGCCAUUGCUUGUCGUCGGAUGGUGUGCCUCACAAAUCCUGACCGGUCAACUAAAAAACGUGCUGGUUCAGAAGGUGAGAUAUUGCGGCCGGACUGGACAGGGGAUGAUGAAAGAGAAGGUGAAGAAGAUGAUGAGGCAGAGGAAGAGGGAGAGGAAGAAGACAGCCGUCCUCCAGUGGGUCAACUGCUAAGACCCAAACUCUUCUUGGUCUGAGCUGAUGGUGCCGCUCCACCACCCUCAACCGCCUCCCUCUUCAGAGGGUCGGCUUCUGUUGGCUCCAUCAUCUCCUCAGCAAUGCAUCACUGCUCAAACAGACCUAAACAUAGAGCAAAUGUGGUCUAGGGGUUAGAGAAAAGGACACAAACCUGCACUGCCCUUAUUUUUGACACAGUACCAAAGCUAUUCAGGGCUGCCUGUGGGACUCCAGCCAUCUCACUCCAAACCUUUUCAAGUUUUCCUUCAGAAAAUUUUUAACAGAACAAUAAUAUGCUUAACCCAUGACCUAACACGCACUGUUUAUAUCCUGUGGCAGAAUUCCAGUAUUUCAUUCUAGCUAUUCACCCUGACUCCAUAUGGCUCUGGAUUCAAUCUGUAAACAAUGAACUACUAUAUUUGACUAAAUUACUCAUCCAUGUCAAUAUAGCGAGUUAAUUUCGUGAGACGAUCCAUUGAACGCCUAUGCAUUGGUCAAGCUACCAAAACUCCUAGCUAGCUAGCUACCUGCAAAAAAUUAACGUUGGCAUAGCUAAUCUAGCCAUAGUAUGUUAGCUACGUAACGUUACUGGCUACAACAUGUAUUCAUUGGUAUUCUCUCAGACAGUACUAGCUAGCUAGUAGUGUCAGCUGUCACCAUUCCUAUUCCAGCUCAUAAAUAAAGAAUUGUCUCAUUUAUUUCAA
ensembl:lncRNA